rnacentral:rRNA from 1 species
UCAGGCCUAACACAUGCAAGUCGUACGGGGAUUUUUAAUUCAAGUGGCGGACGGGUGAGUAACACGUAAGAAUUUGCCUUUAGGAGGGGGACAACAACUGGAAACGGUUGCUAAUACCCCAUAUGCUUUCGAGUGAAAUGGAUUUUUCCGCCUAAAGAGAAGCUUGCGGCUGAUUAGCUUGUUGGUGAGGUAAUGGCUCACCAAGGCGACGAUCAGUAUCUGGUUUGAGAGGAUGAUCAGACACACUGGAACUGAGACACGGUCCAGACUCCUACGGGAGGCAGCAGUGGGGAAUUUU